rfam:Serratia symbiotica genome assembly, type strain CWBI-2.3T, contig: SYMBAF_Contig_18
UCAACACGACAUCGAUGGCGACACCAGGAAGCUGGUGUGUGGAGGUAGACUGAUGUAAAUCAGCCCGGCGUAAGCCGCGAACAGGUCUGAGACCUGGGGAGCCUCGCAAGAACUCAACAUUUCGCCGCCCCGAUGCACAGAUGUCUGUUG